GACAGCCCGCAUUAAUUAUGUGGUUUCGCCUUGUUUAAUUAAUUAGCGUUGGGCGCCGGUUUACAUUAAUCUGGAAAGACUAAAAAAUUCAAAUUUAAUUAAUGCCCUCCGAAAAUCGAUUUUAAAGAUUGGGAUUUGGGAACAACAAAAUCUGCCAUUUUCUUCAUCUGCUUUGCCGUGAAAGAAGGCUCCGUCGAACUGUAAAAAUGGAAAACUGGUAGUAGUACGUAAGCAAAACACCAAUGUGUGAAUGUGGUAAUGGACGGAUGCGUCUAUUACGCGCGUGGCAGACGUCGAGGAAUCCGGGAAGAUGCUUCUACAGAUGUCCAUUGAAAGGUAUUAUCGGCGAUCAUCCUAACGGAUUCAUAUGGUGUGAUGAAUAUCAACAUCCAGAGGCGGCAACGAACUUCGUUACACAUGAACAGGCAGCCACCUCACAGUCCGGUUGUUCGUUUACUGCAGAGCAACACGAUGCACCAAUGUUCCUGGGGAAUCAUUGCAUCUCACGCCAACCGAAUAUAUAUCAAAUUGAUUUACUACUUGUUUAUGUGUUCAUGAUUGUUGUUAUUUUAUUACUUGGUGUUUUGCUAGGCUUUGUCAUUGCUAAGAUGAGUUAGGUUAGGUGUUUUCAAUUUUGAAUACCCAUGAAAUACUUCAACUCAAAUCUUUUGAUCAUGGAGGAUUUAGAUUUUGUGGGAUUUUAAGUCCCAAAAAUAUAUAAAGACACAUUUCAGUUUUUGAAUUUUAGGAGUUGUUUU